CUAAAUCAUCUCUCUCAAAUUCAGAGUUCCACAGAUCUCUAGGGCAAGGGCAAAAUUCCACCAAUCUCUUUGCCAAAGCACAGCAAGAAUGACCUUUGCUCCAGUUUCCAAUAAGUUCCUCAUCUCCAUCUGAGACCACCUUAGCCUGGACUUCAUUGUCCAUAUCACUAUAAGUAUUUUGGUCUAAACCAUUCAACAGGUCUCUAGGAAGUUCCAAAUUUUUCCAUAUCUUCCUGUCUUCUGAGCCUUCCAAACUGUUCCAACCUCUGCCUAUUACCCAGUUUCAAAGUUGUGUCCACAUUUUUAGAUAUCUUUAUAAAAAUGCCUGACUUCUCUCAGUAUCAAUUUCCUGUAUUAAUCCAUUUUUACACUGCAGUAAAGAACUAUGAGACUGGGUAAUUUAUAAAGAAAACAGAUUUAAUUGACUCACAGGUCUCCAUGGCUGGAGAGGCCUCAGGAAGCUUAGAAUUAUGGCAGAAGGCAAAGGAGUAGCAAGCACAUUCUUCACAAGAUUGCAGGAGAGACUGAGAGUGAGAAUGAGGGAGGAAGCACCAUACUUUAAAACUAUCAGCUCUUGUGAAAACUCACUGUCAUGAGACUAGCAUGGGGGGAACUGCACCCAUGAUCCACUCACUCCCCACCAAGUCUCUCCCUUGACACGUGGGGAUUACAAUUGGAGAUGAGAUUUGAGUGGGAACACAGAGCCAAAGUAUAUCAGCCACUAAUCUGGGGAUAGUGUUUUAUAUGGAAAUUGAUAAUUGGAAGACUUGCAAAUAAAUGAAUGAAAGAGUAAAAUAAUUAGAACAAAUGUCUCUAUAACUGGGGGCAGAUCUUAUUACUGGAUGUGUUACUUUUCCUUCCCAGCUAGUACCUCUUGUGAAGCUUUACACCUGAAAUUGCCUGUGGACACCAAGGUGCUUUGGAAAAGUUCUUCACCUUUGCAUGUGUCAAGAGAAAAUUCACUCCAGGUUCUUCUGCAAUUCCAGCAAUAUAUGGCUAAAUAUUAUUUUUACUCUCAACAAAUAUUUUGGAAGAAAAUGGUGCAAGCUCUUGCUGUUAUCCUUCUUUAAAGAUAAUUUUGACACGGGUAAGAAUAUUAGUUAUGUGUUCCUGAAUUAACAUAUGAUGUCAUAGUUCAUUUGUGUCUG
rnacentral:lncRNA from 1 species